rnacentral:rRNA from 1 species
UACGUAGGACACGAGCGUUAUCCGGAGUUACUGGGCGUAAAGGGCGCGUAGGUGGUGCGAUAAGACUGGUGUGAAAGCCUUCGGCUUAACCGAGGGAGGACACUGGUGACUGUCGGACUUGAGGCAGAUAGAGGGGUGUAGAAUUCCGGGUGUAGUGGUGAAAUGCGUAGAGAUCCGGAGGAAUACCAGAGGCGAAGGCGGCACCCUGGGUCUGACCUGACACUGAUCCGCGACAGCAUGGGGAGCGAACGGG